rnacentral:rRNA from 1 species
AGCGAACGCCGGCGGCAGGCUUAACACAUGCAAGUCGAGCGCCCCGCAAGGGGAGCGGCAGACGGGAUAGUAACACGUGGGAACAUACCCUUCAGUACGGAACAACCAAGGGCAACUUUGGCUAAUACUGUAUACGUCCGUAAGGAGAAAGAUUUAACGCUGACGGAUUGGCCCGCGUCUGAUUAGCGAGUUGGUAAGGUAAAAGCUCACCAAGGCGACGAUCAGUAGCUGGUCUGAUAGGAUGAUCAGCAUCACUGGUACUGAGACACGGCCCAGACUCCUACGGGAGGCAACAGUGGUGAAUAUUGGACAAUGGGCGCAAGCCUGAUCCAGCCAUGCCGCGUGGAUGAUGAAGGCCCUAGGGUUGUAAAGUCCUUUUAACGGGGAAGAUAAUGACGGUACCCGUAGAAUAAGCCCCGGCUAACUUCGUGCCAGCAGCCGCCGUAAGAC